rnacentral:lncRNA from 1 species
GAUGAUCUCAACUGAUUUGUUGCUGUGAAGUCGAAGCUUGAUGGCGGGGCCUGAUGGUGUACGAUGAAGGGUAGCAGGUGGUCUGUUUGGUGAUCUUUCAGGACGCUAGCCUUGCUUGGUUCUCCUUCAUAGCUCUUCGUUGGUGUCACAGCCUUGUCGUCUUGUCGUAGUGCCUAAGGUCUAGCAGAUGAUCGUCUUUGACAAAGUCGGAGUCAUUUCUCAGAGUUUGGGUUAGCAAUGAUGCCUCUAGGGGAGAAGUGACGACGAUAACAUCGACGCACUGUCUCGACAAGGCCCUCUUUGAAGUGCCGCCUGUGGGUCUUUUGUGGGUGCCGCUCAGCGGUUUGUGAUGGUUUUCG